UGCGAGUCGAAUGUAGCAAUACAUGGCGUACUGCUCAGUAACACGUGGACAACCUGCCCUUAGGACGGGUAUAAACCCGGGAAACUGGGUAUAAUUCCCGAUAGGUCUCGUCUGCUGGAAUGCAUCGAGAUCCAAAGCUCCGGCGCCUAAGGAUGGGUCUGCGGCCUAUCAGGUAGUAGUGGGUGUAGCGUACCUACUAGCCUACGACGGGUACGGGUUGUGAGAGCAAGAGCCCGGAGAUGGAUUCUGAGACACUAAUCCAGGCCCUACGGGGUGCAGCAGGCGCGAAAACUUUACAAUGCUGGGAACAGCGAUAAGGGAACCUCGAGUGCCAGGUUACAAAUCUGGCUGUCGUGAUGCCUAAAAAGCAUUAUAUAGCAAGGGCCGGGCAAGACCGGUGCCAGCCGCCGCGGUAACACCGGCGGCUCGAGUGGUAACCGUUAUUAUUGGGUCUAAAGGGUCUGUAGCCGGCCGGAUAAGUCUCUUGGGAAAUCUGGCAGCUUAACUGUCAGGCUUUCAGGGGAUACUGUCUGGCUCGAGGCCGGGAGAGGUGAGAGGUACUUCAGGGGUAGGGGUGAAAUCUUGUAAUCCUUGAAGGACCACCAGUGGCGAA
rnacentral:rRNA from 1 species